rnacentral:rRNA from 1 species
CACGUAGGGUGCGAGCGUUGUCCGGAAUUAUUGGGCGUAAAGAGCUCGUAGGCGGCGUGUCACGUCGGCCGUGAAAACUCACAGCUCAACUGUGGGCGUGCGGGCGAUACGGGCAGACUGGAGUACUGCAGGGGAGACUGGAAUUCCUGGUGUAGCGGUGGAAUGCGCAGAUAUCAGGAGGAACACCGGUGGCGAAGGCGGGUCUCUGGGCAGUAACUGACGCUGAGGAGCGAAAGCGUGGGGGAGCGAACAGG